GUUUAUUUUAAUGUCCUCUGGGGAACUUAAGAGUGGAAGGGACUGGAUGCUCCUUGCCACGAUAGGUCUCACCUCUUCUACGGUUCAGUCUCAGCCCUGCGUCCUGCUCAAAACCCUUCUCUCAAAUCAGUUUCCUAUCUGCAGAUCAUAUGCCUCCCCCAACCCCAGACACACAAACACACCCCACACAGGAGCCCCAGAAGGACAGUGCGCCAUCUCUGAUUUCUUGACUCGUGCAUCCCUGGACUAGCCUUCCCUGGCUUGUCCCAUGGUGAGGCCCAUCAGUAGGGAGGUCCUGAGGGGGUACGUGGGCCUGAUUUCUGAUUGGUGUCAGCUCAGAGAUCACCACAUUGGGAAAUGUUUACUACAAGAUUCAGGGGAUCCCAGAUAGACAAGGCGUCAUUACACCUGCUUAAGCAAAUUGCCUGCUCUAAAUGGGGCAAUAAUAGGACUUCCUUCAGAGAUUGGGUAUGAGGAUAACAUGAGAUAAAGCAUGGACAGUGUGGCACAUAGGAAGAGCCCCAUACUUGUUAGCUAUGGUCCCAGGUGACAGAUGGGAAAACUGUCUCAGAGGCCAGUUUUUUCCCAAGGUCAAAAAAUGGGGAAGGGUCUUCCUGAACCUUUGACUCUUCCAGGAAAGGAACCUGGCCUGAGGGAGGUGCCUAUUGAGGAAAGGGCCUGUCUUUAUCAGAGGCAUCCCAGGCAUCUCAGUCCCUAGAGCCCCAGGUCAGAGCUUACUCCCUGCCCGGGGCCUCAGUGUUGCUGUGCAUGAAUGGGCUGAUCCCCUCCUCCAGCUGUUUUGGGGAGCAC
rnacentral:lncRNA from 10 species